rnacentral:rRNA from 1 species
CUCACCAGAUAAGACAGCUGAAUGAUAGUCGGGCUGAAGACUCUACUUGACUAGCUGAGAGGAGGUGCAUGGCCGUCGUCAGUUCGUACUGUGAAGCAUCCUGUUAAGUCAGGCAACGAGCGAGACCCCACGCCAACAGUUGCCAGCUCGUCCUCCGGGAUGGUGGGGACACUGUUGGGACCGCCUCUGCUAAAGAGGAGGAAGGAAUGGGCAACGGUAGGUCAGCAUGCCCCCGAAUUAUCUGGGCUACACGCGGGCUACAAUGGGUGGGACAAUGGGUAUCGACACCGAAAGGUGAAGGCAAUCUCCUAAACCCAUCCGUAGUUCGGAUUGUGGGCUGCAACUCGCCCACAUGAAGCUGGAAUCUGUAGUAAUCGUGUCUCAAAAUGGCACGGUGAAUAUGUCCCUGCUCCUU